UACGUAGGUGGCGAGCGUUGUCCGGAUUUACUGGGCGUAAAGAGCGCGCAGGCGGCUGGUCAAGUCCGAUGUGAAAGCUCCCGGCUUAACUGGGAAAUUGCAUCGGAAACUGAUCGGCUGGAAGGUGGGAGAGGGUAGCGGAAUUCCCGGUGUAGUGGUGAAAUGCGUAGAUAUCGGGAGGAACACCAGUGGCGAAGGCGGCUACCUGGAUUGACACUGACACUGAGGUGCGAAAGCGUGGGGAGCAAACAGG
rnacentral:rRNA from 1 species